GGUCACUUGGAGAUCUCGGUCAAAAAUUGGUAUAUGAAAAUGAGUAGUCAAAAGUUUCGGCUUCCCAUACAAUGCUUGUAUCCUGGGAGACUUGGAAUGAGAGAAGUGUGCCUCGAUCAUGCUGGCAAAGAUAAAGCUCGCCGCUGCCAACCCGGUGUCCGCAGGCGCAAAACGGUUGGGUUCUUCGAUGUCGAGAGUAGGCAUUUUUGUAGACGCUGUUUGUCGUGCUUUUCUUUGCCUUUUCGUGCUUCUCUGGUCAGUUGCACUCUCGCUAUCUUUUAAUGAAUGGAUCGCCUCUGUUUCGAAUGAAAAAAAAAAUCACAA
rnacentral:lncRNA from 1 species